rnacentral:rRNA from 1 species
GGCUGUNUUCAGCUCGUGUUGUGAAAUGUUGGGUUAAGUCCCGCAACGAGCGCAACCCUUAUCCUUUGUUGCCAGCGGUUAGGCCGGGAACUCAAAGGAGACUGCCAGUGAUAAACUGGAGGAAGGUGGGGAUGACGUCAAGUCAUCAUGGCCCUUACGAGUAGGGCUACACACGUGCUACAAUGGCGCAUACAAAGAGAAGCGACCUCGCGAGAGCAAGCGGACCUCAUAAAGUGCGUCGUAGUCCGGAUUGGAGUCUGCAACUCGACUCCAUGAAGUCGGAAUCGCUAGUAAUCUGA